rnacentral:rRNA from 1 species
UACGGAGGGUGCAAGCGUUAUCCGGAUUCACUGGGUUUAAAGGGUGCGUAGGAGGGCAGGUAAGUCAGUGGUGAAAUCCCCGAGCUUAACUUGGGAACUGCCGUUGAUACUAUCUGUCUUGAAUAUUGUGGAGGUAAGCGGAAUAUGUCAUGUAGCGGUGAAAUGCUUAGAUAUGACAUAGAACACCAAUUGCGAAGGCAGCUUGCUACACAACUAUUGACUCUGAUGCACGAAAGCGUGGGGAUCAAACAGG